AAGACAAUAAGGAGGAGAAGGCAGAAAAGGAGGAGAAGGAGGAAGAUGGGGAGAAGGGAAAAGAGGAAAAGGAAGAGAAGAGGAGAAGGAGGAGGGGAGAAAGGGUUGGGGGACCCUUCCUGCACCCCUCUCCAGCUAUACCUUGUGCCCCUCAGGCUCUCACAGCAAACCUUGGAAGUAUUGUCUGUAGACAUUAUUUCUACUUUCUCGAUUCCUGUCUCUUCUCAGCUGACUCCAGUGAGCGUGUCAUCCCCAGCACUCUGCUGGAACUAACUGCCCCGUCAAGGUCUCCAAUGGUGGCCGUCUGGCCCACGUUCCUGUCCUCAUCUUACCUGACCUCUUGGAGGCAUUUGACAUUACUGGCCAAGCCUUCCUUCUGGAAACAAUUUCCUCUCUGCCUCACUUGGUACAUGCCCUGACAGCUGCUGUUCUUCACCCCUCCCUGCAGGCACACCUUUCACCAAGUGACUUUGCAGCUCCUCUUAUCAAAGAGGGGCGUCUAUUUCCCACUCCCCUUAACUUUGGUUUCGCAGUAUGACUUGCUCUGAUCAAUGGAGGGCUAGCCAGUGUGCUGUGACUAAAGACUUGAAAAGUCUCUGCUGUCUCGCACCUCUGCCAUCACCAUGAGAAGAAUCCACUGGUCCCGGGAGAAAAAUGAGAGAUGUGCACGGCAGAACGGAGCCAGCAUGGAUGAGCCAAGGCCCAACUAAACCAGACUGAAUCUCACUCUAUUGCCCAUGCCGGAGAGCAGUGGUGCGAUCACAGCUCACUGCAGCCUCAAACUCCUGGGCUCAAUCAAUCCUCCCAAUGCAGCCACUGUGGAAAAUGGUAUAACUUUCUCAAAAAUUAAAAAUAGAAUUAUCAAAUGAUCCAGCACUUCCACUUCUGAGUAUAUACCCAAAAGAAUUCUAAGCAGAGAUUCAAACAGAUAUCUGCACACUCAUAUUUAUAGCAGCAUUAUUCACAAUAGCCAAGAGGUGCAAACAACCAAAGUGUCCAUCAAGAGCUGAAUGGAUAAACAAAAUGUGGUCUAUCCAUACAAUGGAAUAUUACUCAGGCUUGAAAAGGAAGAAGAUUCUGAUACAUGCUACAACAUGAAUGAACCUUGAGGACAUUAUGCUAAAUGAAAUAAGCCAGUUUCAAAAGGAUAAAAACUAUAUGAUUCUACUUACAUGAGGUACAUAGAACAGUGAAAUUCACAGAGACAGAAAGUUGAAUGGUGGUUUCCAGGGGCAAAAAAAAAAACAAGGGAAGAUUCACACUCCCUUGCAGGUUUCUCUCCACAGACCUCACCAGGUGUCAAAAAAAGAGUUCUCCAGGGGAUUCCAAUGUCUGCCAAGCUGUAAAGCCAUCGGCCUUUUGGGUAGUUAUCUUCAUUUCUUCUUUGGGGAGAAGCUUGAUUUUCUGUAAGCUGCAGAAGAUAGCUCAAACCAGCAGCUCAGCCAGUUAAGGGGACGGAGGCUGCUGGUCUGCAUCCUUCCAAUGGUCUUUCGUCUCCCUUUUUCUCCUAACUUAAAGCUUUCAUGAUGGAGAAGUCUUCCCUGUUGUCUGCAAUUUUCCUUCUCUCAAAACAACCUUCUGAAUCCUCUUUUGGGGUGGGGUUUCAGAUGUUGUGAAACCAUCACAUGCUUAUGAACUAGCAGACAUACAGCACCGGAAGUUGAGAGGGUGGACUGCUAUUAGACUGCCUGGGCUGAGUCCUGAGGGCACCUCUUGCUUGCUUGAAUGACUUCGGGCAAGUUACUUCACCUCUCCAAGAUGUCAUCGGGGCUCAUCAAAGUACCCGCCCCAUGAGGUCUCCUUGUGAGAACAACAUGAGAAAAGCCUGUGCAAAAUGCUUGCCUGCCACGUAGAAAAAAAGCUUCCAUAAAUGUUGGUUCAUAUUGUGAGCUUUCAAAUCAACCAAGUGUGAAUAAUUUCUACUUCAUUCCAUUGGCUAUGGCAGGGGAAUACAAAGAUUUGUCAGAGCCAUUUCCAGCCUACAGGAGUUUACAGCUAUCUGACUUUACAGCUACGAGUGCCGUGAGAGAGCUACAAACCCAAUGCUGCAGGUGUUCAAAGUCAGAGAUUUAAUAACCACGGAGCCGGGAAUUAGGGAAAGCCUAAUGGUGAAUGGAUUUAAGCUGACCCCGGUGGAAUAUGAAGUACAAAGCUGACUUCCCUGCAACUCUGUCUGGUGACAUCCUUUUCUUUUUCCAAAGAGAUACUCAAGACUCAGAGAGAUUCAAAACCACCCAAGGGUCACAGGUGGUUUAUCAAAACCCCCACCCCACCCCCCAAAUACACACCAAAAAGCUAGGUUUAAUAAUCCAUGACUCAGAACCUGGAAGGCUCUCUGCAGGGCUGAGGGGCCUCGCCGGCUGUCUAUGACUGCUGCCCGCCUAGCAGGCACUGACCCAGGCCCCAGGCUCCAGGACAGUGUGCUGUCAGCCAGAGGCAGCUGUCAGCCAGACUGCUCCCCUCCUCUCAGCCUGGCAGGGGUACUCAGGGUAGUUCUCUCUGUUGGGGACCCUAAGCAUGAAACAGUAUUGGAGGAGGCUGUGCUGAGAAACCCACUGAGGGAGGAAGGCUGACGGUCUGUGUUCUUCUAGUGGUCUCUCUUCACCCUUUGUUCUCCUAGCAUAAAGCUUUCACGAUGGAGAUGCCUUCCCCAUCAUCUGCAGUUUUUCUUCGCUCAAAACAAGCUUCUGAGACAUCUUUCCGGGGAGCUUUGGUCAUUAGAGCUUGGGAGAGGGAGGCCCUUCUCUUCCGGUGUCCUCACAGGGUCUCUGUCAUUUAGAUUCUUGUUGAACAACUGGGCUUUGGAGGGGGUUGGAGGAGACAGUGAGUGAUGGUGCUGGGGCCCAGGGCCAUUCCAAGCAGAAGAAAGGCACUAGCAGGGGCAUGAGGCAGGACAGCCCAGGGCAUGUGUGGACAUCUGGGAAGAGUCUGUCUAUAUUCUGACUAGGAAGUGUACAUGUGAAGGAGUGAGAGGUUAGACUUGAAAGAUGAGGGUAGGUGUGGGCCAGACUGCAGAGGGUUGUCCUUACUGCAGUGGAUCACGGGGAACCAUGGAAGCUUCCAGAACAAGAAGUGAGCUGAGACAACAACUGUGACAUAUAGUUUGUUGAGUGAAUGAAUGAAUGAAUGUCUGAGGAAGACACGACAGUGGCAGGAGGGGAGAGUCCCCUACAACAAGCCCCACAGCCCUGCUGCAUAUGCUUAGGUAACCAGUGUGAACUGCUCUGCAAAUUCAGACCUCAAGUAAAGUCAUAUCUAUUCUAUUUUUUACAAAUGAAAAAUAAAGCCAGCUCAGACCUACAUGCCAGAGGAAUGAGAAGUCCAAAAUCUCUCUCCUGGUACUCCCUGUAUCCCUCCCUGCUUUUUGCUGUCAGCUGCCGUUGACGCUGGUCCUCUGAGUCUAAGACAGUGCUGACUGCUGCCCAGGUACAGGCUUCCUUGAUCUCCAAGGGAGGAGUGUGCCCACAUAGUGCUCCGUGGCUCCCUCAGUUCUCAGGGCUCUGGUACUCACCUCCUUCAGGCCCACACCCAGGCAUCCCCCUAAGGACAGCAGUCCUAGGAGCCUCCACGGAGUCUCUCAGGCCUCCACCUCUGUGCCUUCAUGUCCUGCCUUCCCUAAACACCCAUCACACAGGAAGUGGGGCAACUUUCCUCUUCCAGCCUUGGGACACAGAGGACAACAGCUUUCCUGGAAAUGUGGUCACCCUAAGUAUUGCCAGGGGUCCAACAGCCUCCGAAUGCAAAGGGUCUAAAGACACCUUUUUCUCCAAAGAUGAAGUCACUCUCCCUCUUCAACACAGAGAUCCAGAUCCUCUCCUGGGAACCCAACACCCCCAUCCCUUUUCAGGUGUGAAAGAGGCUCCGUUUAGUGCCUCAAAAAGGACUUACUCCACUAAGAAAAACCAAGGAAAUGCCAAGAUCUCUUUUUGGGAGCAGAAAAAGAAGAAAAAGGGAGAAGGGAGGAAUAUUGAGGAUCUCCCACUAUGUUUAUAUUGUAACAUUUUUCAUCCUAUAUUAUAAUUUCUGCUAUUUUACUUGGAAUUUUCCUUAAAAUUAGAUAUCCUUUAUAUAGUAAAAUCUCUAGCAUAUAGCAUUUGUUUAUUAGUUACUGAGGAGGAAGGAGAGGAAACAAAGAAGCUAGAAGAUGGAAACUGAGAUUUCAUCUUUUGCAUGGCAGGUGCCCUAAGCCUCCAACAGCCUUAUAAGGAAAGUAUUGUUAUUAUUAUGAUUUCACUGAUUUAAAAAAUUGAAGACAUAAAUGAGACGAGUAAGUGAAUAAAUGGCAAUGCCAUUUCUGUCUUCCUUUCCACCAUGCAAACAUGGCUUACUUUCCUGAAUCAUAAAACAUUUUUCAAGACGUCAGAGAGCCAAAAAAAGUAUAUUAAAAACAGAUUAAAGCAGUAUGGUUUCUGAACCAUUCAGUAAAGGAUGAAAAUAGCUUUGUUAUCCAGAGACUGUCUUCAUAAAGUCAUUAUUAUCAUGAGUUAGAACCUGUAUUAACUCAGAAAUUAAAAUAGUGCUGUGUGCGGCAAAUUCUGAAGACACACUCCAUGAUUUUCAGAGCACCUAUUAUUAUUCUCCUGAACUUUAGCUGGAUCUGAAUGAUUUACCAUAAGAGGAUCCUGUUUAAAUGUUCUACUUCACAAAGAAAAAGUAAUAAAAUUGGAUGAUUCUGAAAACCUUAUUUUUAUAUUAAUUAGGAAUGAAGUACAAACUCUAGAAUAAUCAGUCCAAUGCUGGCAUUUAGAAAGAAAAAGAAGUCCUCACACGUACUCCCCAGGUUUCCCAGGGGACAGUUCUGGGACCUCAAGCAGACUUGGAACAGUCCCUGUGGAAGAAAGUCAUUUACAGGCUUGAUUCUAAUUGAUCCCAACAGCAGCAGCUGUAACCAUAUACUUUUAAUCAAAUCUAAAGGCAAACUUAGGACAAAAUAUGUGUUCUUCUACUAAAACACACAGUGCAUUUUUCUGAACUAUAUGAUUACAUUUUCUGGAAAGGACUUGGGGAAUUAUUCUUGUUCUAACCUCCGAGAGAUAUUGCCCUCUGUAUUUGGCAGUCUCUGUGUCUGUUUCUGAUCUUCUGUUCUGGGGCACCUCACUCUGACGGGUCCCUUUAGGGCUGGAGUUUGCCACAUGGUCACAAUCUUCAGCCGUGGGGUGGAGACUCUUUGACAGGUGAUCCCUUGUCUGCUGAGCUCUGCCCAGCCCUGUGAGGAGAAAGGCAGCUAGCCUGCACAGCCUGGUGCUCCAAAGAUGGAUCCUCUCAGAACAAAGGGGAGCAGGUGUAGGGACAGAUGCCACCUGUAGCAACAGCUUUCAUCCAGAAGGGGUCCCCAAGCUAAUCCAGUGCUUGGUACAUUUGCAUUCUCCCAUUAAUAUCACAGGCACAAUACUUUAGGUGAGAAAGAGAAGACCACAAAUGAACAGAGAUCCUUCCAUAUUUGCUUCACGGAAGCCCUCCCCUGAGCUACCUGAGGGUAGGUAUAAUACCUUAUCUCUCACUCACAACACCUGCAAUAACAGGUACAUGACAGAUGAUGAAAGGGGCUGUAUUAGUCUAUUUUCACACUGCUAUAAAGAACUGCCAAAGACUGGGUAAUUUAUAAA
rnacentral:lncRNA from 10 species